GACGGAGGGGGCAAGCGUUGUCCGGAAUUACUGGGCGUAAAGCGCACGUAGGCGGCCUGGUGCGUCGGUGCUGAAAGCGCCCCGCUUAACGGGGCGAGGCGUGCCGAUACGACCGGGCUUGAGGCAGGCAGAGGGUGGCGGAAUUCCGGGUGUAGUGGUGAAAUGCGUAGAGAUCCGGAGGAACGCCUGUGGCGCAAGCGGCCACCUGGGCCUGAGCUGACGCUGAGGUGCGAAAGCGUGGGGAGCGAACCGG
rnacentral:rRNA from 1 species